GACGAACGCUGGCGGCGUGCUUAACACAUGCAAGUCGAACGGAAAGGCCCUGCUUGCAGGGUACUCGAGUGGCGAACGGGUGAGUAACACGUGGGUGAUCUGCCCUGCACUUCGGGAUAAGCAUGGGCAACUGGGUCCAAUACCGGAUAGGAGCCAUUUUUAGUGUGAUGGUUGGAAAGUUUUUUCGGUGUAGGAUGAGCUCGCGGCCUAUCAGCUUGUUGGUGGGGUAAUGGCCUACCGACGCGGCGACGGGUAGCCGGCCUGAGAGGGUGGACGGCCACAUUGGGACUGAGGUGCGGCCCAGACUGCUACGGGAGGAAGAAGUGGGGAAUAUUGCACGAUGGGCGCAAGCCUGAUGCAGCGACGCCGCGUGGUGGAUGACGGCCUUCGGGUUGAAAACACCUUGCGCUAGAGAAGAAGGUUUUUGUGACGGUACCUAGAUAAGAAGCACCGGCUAACUACGUG
rnacentral:rRNA from 1 species